AUUGAACGCUGGCGGCAGGCCUAACACAUGCAAGUCGAGCGAGCGGCGGACGGGUGAGUAAUGUAUGGGGACUGCCCGAUAGAGGGGGAUAACUACUGGAAACGGUAGCUAAUACCGCAUACUAACGGAUAACCGAUAUGGGAUGAGCUAGUAGGGGAGGUAAUGGCGCACCUAGGAGAAGAACCCUAGCUGGUCUGAGAGGAUGAUCAGCCACACUGGGACUGAGACACGGCCCAGACGCCUACGGAGGCAGCAGUGGGGAAUAUUGCACAAUGGUCGCAAGCCUGAUGCAGCCAUGCCGCGUGUAUGAAGAAGGCCCUAGGGUUGUAAAGUACUUUCAGUCGGGAGGCGUUACCGACAGAAGAAGCACCGGCUAACUCCGUGCCAGCAGCCGCGGUAAUUC
rnacentral:rRNA from 1 species